rnacentral:rRNA from 1 species
GCAGCAGCCGCGGGAAUACGGAGGGUGCAAGCGUUAAUCGGAAUUACUGGGCGUAAAGCGCACGCAGGCGGUUUGUUAAGUCAGAUGUGAAAUCCCCGAGCUUAACUUGGGAACUGCAUUUGAAACUGGCAAGCUAGAGUCUUGUAGAGGGGGGUAGAAUUCCAGGUGUAGCGGUGAAAUGCGUAGAGAUCUGGAGGAAUACCGGUGGCGAAGGCGGCCCCCUGGACAAAGACUGACGCUCAGGUGCGAAAGCGUGGGGAGCAAACAGGAUUAGAUACCCGUGUAGUCCCUGUCUCUUAUAC